AACCACUUGUGAUUUGUUUCAAAACUUAGUUUAGAUCUUUUGAGUUUUCUACAUUCGUGUGAGAUGUGCCUCCCUCAAACCUUGUUACUACCUUGGCACAUUACAUAUCUGAUG
rnacentral:snoRNA from 1 species